rnacentral:tRNA from 1 species
AAGGGUAUAGCUCAGUGAUAGAGCUUGUGCUUAGCAGAUAUGAGGUCCUGGGUUCAACCCCCAGUACCUCCA